rnacentral:tRNA from 1 species
AAGCAUGAAGCAAUUAAUGCACCUAGUUUCGACCUAGGAAAAAGAAUAAAAUCCUUGCUUU